AUUGAACGCUGGCGGCAUGCUUUACACAUGCAAGUCGAACGGUAACAGGCCGCAAGGUGCUGACGAGUGGCGAACGGGUGAGUAAUGCAUCGGAACGUGCCCAGCGGUGGGGGAUAACUGCUCGAGAAAGCAGCUAAUCCCGCAUACGAUCUCUGGAUGAAAGCGGGGGACUGUAAGGCCUCGCGCGAUUGGAUCGGCCGAUGUCAGAUUAGGUAGUGGGUGGGGUAAAGGCUAACCAAGCCAACGAUCUGUAGCUGGUCUGAGAGGACGACCAGCCACACUGGGGCUGGGACACGGCCCAGACUCCUACGGGAGGCAGCAGUGGGGAAUUUUGGACAAUGGGGGCAACCCUGAUCCAGCAGUGCCGCGUGCAGGAAGAAGGCCUUCGGGUUGUAAACUGCUUUUGUACGGAACGAAACGGUCUGGGUUAAUACCCUGGGCUAAUGACGGUACCGUAAGAAUAAGCACCGGCUAACUACGUGCCAGCCGCCGCGGUAA
rnacentral:rRNA from 1 species